CGCUGCUUGAAGGUCUGCCCACAUUCGUCACAGAUGUAAUUGCGUACCUCUGCAAGACCAGAGCGGAUGUGAGCACCAGAGCCGGCAAAACCCAAUCUGCUCCAGGGGAGGUGAUAGUUAUCACUGUUCUAAACAACACGAGGGUGUCCCCAGGCGGGGGCCUUUGGGAACCCACAUGAUUUAAAAUGAAAGGCAAUUCUGAUAUGGAGAACUUCACUAAUAAGUUCCUGACUGAACAAUGGUGGCACACGCCCACGUCCCAGCGCUUGGGAAGCA
rnacentral:lncRNA from 1 species